CCCACUUUACCCUCGCUAUUAAAUACUAUUCAUCACUCAAUACAUUUUUCAAAAUAUUAAGUUUAUUACUCCUUCCGUCUAUUUUUACUUGUCCAGUUUUCUUAUUAUUUUGGGAUGUGCAACAAUACUUGUCCAAUUUAUAAAACCAAUGGUAUUAAAUACAAUACAUCUCUCAUUUCAUUUUUGAAAGCAAAAAAAUUAUUAUAUUCAAAAGGUGACAUAGUAAAAUCACCCCUCCAUUUAUCGUUUUAAGGUAUGUGCCAAGUAAAAAGUGGAUAAGUAUUUACGGACGGAGGGAGUGUAUUCAAAUUUUAUCCUUGCUAUUAGAUACUACUCAUCACUCAAUACAUAUUCCAAAAUAUUAAAUUUAUUAUAUUCAAACAGUAAUAUAGUAAAAUUACCCUUAUUAUUUAUUAUUUCUUAACGUGUGUGCCAAUACAAGUAUUGUUGGAAAGAGGGAGUAAUAUAUUCGGGGCUAGAUAUUAAAGCAAGCCAAGAUUUCUAAGCAUACCUGAAUUUCAAGAGGGAUGAGUUCAGCCGGCAGAAGAGGGAUUGUAAAGUUCAAAUCUUGCAUUGAAUUUGAUGGAAAUCCAGCAGAUUUUGUGCGCUUCUUCCAUUUUUUGGUGUUGAUGGUAGGCUUUAUCUUCCUCUUUUUCCAUUUGGGCGCCACAAAUUUGAGUGAAAUUCCCAAGUUUAUAGUAGUCAGCUGUGGACCGAAUUCGACAUGGGUCGGAUCAGGUCUGGUCGGGUUAUAUUAGGAAUAGUGGGUUCUCUCUUCAAAAUUGGAUAUUUUUAGGCAAUUUGGGGGUUUUCGUUUAUCUAGGGUAUGGGUAACACAUUUAUUAACCGUGAGUCAGAUAGACGAUUUUUCAAAAUUAAUCGUAUUUUUUAAAACAACUUCUUCUAUUUUAUUUUAUUUAAUACUUGGCGCAUCACUCUUUAUGUAUCGUCUUUUAGAUGGAAUUUGAUUUCUAUUCCAGUUUUAGAUAGAUUUGGUUAAGGUUUUUAAUUUUCUUAAUGAAAAAAUUAAUUUGUUUUUGAACUCCCGAGUUGUUGGUCAUGGAAUCCUAUCUGAUGGUUUGUUAAAAUUUUCUUGACUUCUAAUUUUGAAUACAACUCUUUUAAUUUUGAAAUUGUGGGGUCUAAACGAUCAAUUUUAAAUGAAAAAUUGGGCAUGUUGUGGCAUAGGUGUUUAGGUCACAUCUCUAAAUACAGAGUUGAUAGAUUGGUUAAGUCUAAUAUUUUACCUUCUCUUGAUUUUGGGGACAUAGGAACAUGUAUUGAUUGCAUUAGAAGAAAGUUGACUAAACAAGAAAAAAGAAUGCUAUUUGUAGUUUUAGUUGUUGAAAAUCAUUCACACAAACAUAAGUGGUCCGUAUUCUACUUCAAUAUGUGGUUCAAGUUAUUUUAUCACCUUUAUUGAUGACUUUUCUCGGUAUGAUUAUGUUUUUCUUAUUAAAAAAAAUUAUAUUCUCUUGAAAUGUUCAAAGUGUUUAAAACUGAAGUAGAGAAAUAACUGGGAAAGGUCAUUAAAAGAAUAUGAUUUUUAUGAAGUAGAGAAACAACUGGGAAAGGAUCUCACUAUCUUAAUGAUCUUUCCCAACACUAAAACUUAAACCCUAAACUCUGAUAGUGAGGUCCUUUCCCAGUAGUUUGAUAUCAUUGAGAUCCAAACCAUUAGAUCUUUAUAGAUGUACAAAACUUUUCCUCCUAGUGGUAUUAGAGCCUAGGGUUCAAAGAUCCAAUGGUUUGGUAAAGCGAGGUUGAAGACAAGUCCAAGACAGUUCUAAUCAAUUUGCAAUCAAUUGGAUGAUAACGAAGAUUUUAUUACACUAUAUGUGGAGAAGAUAUUUCAAUCAUAUUUUCAACAAUCCUGCUGUCACAUCUUUGAAAACAAAGCUAACCCUAUUUAGAGCUCCAAUAUUUUUAACCCAAAAGGGAUAAUAUAUUUUUAACCGAAAAAGGCUCAAUUUUUAAGCAUGACAAAAGCAGAGAUAAAUGAAGAUUAUGUGAAGAACCAAAAUUAUGCAUAUGACAUGAAGAAGGCAGAUCAAGUCAAGAAAAUCAAGCCCAAAAAGGAGAGAUUUAUUAGGAUUUUUGCCCCGAUUUUCUUACCAAAUUUAAGUUUUAUUUUUUCUUAUAAGGAAAAUAAAAGUAACCAUAAAUACUUUUACUUUUCCUUAAAGGAAAAUAUAAUUUUUUUUCCAUAUUUGACAAACCUCUUUCUUGAAGGAAAGGUUUUGUAUAUCUAUAAAUAGAAGACUCCUCUUGUCAUACAAUAACACAAUAGCAUCCACAAUAUAGUCCUUUAAAGAGUCAUUGUUUAGGGGGAGAUUUCUCCGAAUAGGUUUAAUGUUUUUUAUAUUCGGUUUUAUAAUAUGUAGGCCGAUUGGCCAAAAUAUAUAAUAAUUUAAUGCUUUUUAGUAUUGUUUUCUUUGUCGUCUACUUUAUCGUCUCAAGGUUUGCAGCUAAUAGCUUCCGCAUGACACCCUCUUGAUUUCGAACCCAACAGUAUGAUGAGUAAGCUAUUAAAAUCGUACUUUAAAAAAACUAUAAUUUAAAAGAUAUGAUGAGAAGUAUGAUGAGUAAGCUAUUAAAACCGUACUAUAAAAGAUAUGAUGAGAAGUAUGAUGAGUAUGAUGAGAAGUAUGAAGAGUAAGCUAUUAAAAUCGUAAUUUAAAAGAUAUGAUGAGAAGUUGUAAUUUAAAAGAUAUGAUGAGAAGUAUGAUGAGUAGAUCUAACUUACCUGAAAUCCUCUAGGGUGAAGCUGUUAAAACCUCCAUGUAUAUUCUUAAUCGUGUCCCUUCCAAAUCAUUCCCUAAAAUCCCUUUUGAGUUGUAGAACCAAUAAAAAAUUCAGUUUAAAUCAUUUUCAAGUUUGGAGACCUUCUGCGAAGGUAAAGAUAUAUAACCCUUCAGAAAAGAAAACCGAACCUAGAACCUCGCGUUGUUUUUUCAUUGGUUAUCCAACUGAGAAGGUAAAGAUAUAUAACCCUUCAGAAAAGAAAACUAAACCUAGAACCUCGCGUUGUUUUUUCAUUGGUUACCCAACUCAUUCUAAAAGAUACAGGUUCUACUGUCUUACAAAGGGAACAGGAAUAGUUGAAUCUCAAAAUACAAAAUUUCUUGAAUUUGAUAUUGCAGAUAAGGAUUGUUCUUAGCAUAUCGCUCCUGACUUAAUUGUUUCCCUUUCAAGUCAGUCCUUAAAACCCCUUUUGAGUUGUGGACCAAUAGAAAAUUCAGUUUAAAUCAUUUUCUAGUUUGGAGAUGUUCUGCGAAGGUAAAGAUAUAUAACCCUUCAGAAAAGAAAACUAAACCUAGAACCUCGCAUUAUUUAUUCAUUGGUUAUCCAGGUCAUUCUAAAGGAUACAGGUUCUAUUGUCCUACAAGGGGAACAGGAAUAAUUGAAUCUCAAAAUGCAAAAUUUCUUGAAUUUGAUGUUGUAGCUAAGGAUUGUUCUCAGCAUAUUGCUCCUGAGCCAACUGAAAGUAUUGAAGCUGUCAGAAUUCCUCUCAGUAUUACCUCAGAAUCAUUUGUGUCUGCACCUAUACAUGAUGAACCUCAUAUACAUGUGCAAACUGAUGACUUUGUACCUGCAGAAAUUAGGUGCCUAUUAUUGAAGAAGUGGUCAAGGCACCUGCUAUUGUUGAUCAAGAGGUUCAGAAUUUAAGGAGAUCAAGUAGACCGAGACGAUCGCUGCUAUCGGAUGAUUAUUUAGUAUACCUAAAUGAAGGCGACAUUGUUGAUCCUGUAAGCUUUUUGGAAGCUUCAUCAUGUGCUCAAUCAAAGAUGUGGCUUGAUGCCAUGUCUGAAGAGAUAAAAUCCAUGAGUAAAAAUGAUGUAAGCUUUCAGAGCUUCCUAAAGGUCAGAAGUUUGUUGGAUGUAAAUGGAUUUUUAUGACCAAAAAGGAUUCAAAUGGAAAUGUUGAACGAUUCAAGGCGAGAUUAGUUGCUAAAGGAUUUACACAGCGAGAAGGGGUUGAUUACAAUGAAACUUUUUCACCAGUAUCAUCUAAGGAUUCUUUUAGGAUCAUUAUGGCAUUAGUAACUCAUUUUUAUCUUGAUCUACAUCAAAUGGAUGUAAAGACAGCCUUUUUCAAUGGUGAUCUUAAUGAAGAGGUUUACAUGUAACAACACCAAGGUUUUGUUAGAAAAGGCAGCGAGCAUCUUGUGUGUAAAUUGAAGAAAUAUAUUUAUGGCUUGAAGUAAGCUUCUCGAUAGUAGUACUUGAAGUUUGAGGAGAUUAUGACUUCUAUGGGGUUUGUGGAGAACAACAUUGAUCAUUGCAUCUAUCUCAAGAUCAGUGAGAGUAAGUUCAUCAUUCUCACUCUUUAUGUUGAUGAUAUUUUACUUGCUAGUAAUAAUUCGGGACUGUUGCACGAAAUUAAACAUUCAUUAAAUAAAAUGUUUGAUAUGAAAGAUCUAGGAGAGGCAUCAUUUGUUCUGGGCAUUGAGAUUCGACGAGAUAGAUCUCGUAAGUUAUUGGAGUUUUCACAAAAGGCCUAUAUUGAUUGUAUUUUAAAAAGAUCUCAAAUGAAAAAUUGUAAGCCUGGUAAUGUCCCUAUGGUGAAAGGUGAUAAUUUAAGCCUAGACUUGUGUCCCAAAAAUGAUCUUGAGAAAGAUUUUAUAAAAGAUGUGCCUUAUCCAAGUGUUGUUAGAAGUCUUAUGUAUGCAUAAGUUUGCACUCGUCCUGACAUUGCUUUCAUUGUCAAUGCUCUUGGACGUUAUCAAACUAAUCCAGGAAGAAGUCAUUGGGUAGCUACUAAGAAAGUAAUGAGGUACUUGAAGAAGACAAGAGAUUAUAUAUUAGUGUACAAAAACGUUAACGACCUUGAGGUAAUUGGUUACACAGACUUAGAGUUUGUUAGGUGUCCUGAUGAUUUGAGGUCCACAUCUGGCUUUAUCUUUAUGUUUGCAGGGGGUGCGAUAUCUUGGAAGAGUGUGAAGUGAACUCUUAUAGCAUCUUCCACUAUGGAAGCAGCAUUCGUAGCUUGUUAUGGUGCAGCUACACAAGCCAUUUGGCUUAAGAAUUUUAUUUUAGGGCUUGUGGUAGUUGAUUCCAUCUCUAGGCCCUUGGAGAUUUAUUGUGACAAUAAGGCAGCUGUGUUUUACUCAAAAAAUAAUAAAUCUUCUUCAGUUUCUAAGCAUAUGGAAAUAAAAUAUCUGGCUGUGAGAGAUAUGGUUAAAAGGGAGGACAUUGUGAUUGAACAUAUACCUACUGAUUUGAUGUUUGCUGAUCCACGAAUCAAGGUGCUAAUACCCAUAGCUUUUACACAACAUAUUCAUAAUAUGGGUGUUGUUGUGUCAUUUGAUUUGUUGGGUUAGUGGGAGUAUUUAAUAUUGUUAUUCAUUUGUCAUUAGACUAUUCACCUUAUUGUUUCAUAUUUAUGGUGAUAUUAUCUCUUAAAUUUACAUUUAUGCUAUGGUAGAUUUUGCUAUCAUUUAUGCUGUUGAUUAUUAUUGUGUACACUUUAAUAUUGUUUUAUUAUAUUAAGGAUUUUUGCCUUACGUGUUAGCUAUGUUUCAUAUUGAUAAGAUCAUAUUGUUAUUUUAUUGGAUUUUUCUUUUGUAGACAUAUACGAUAUAUCAUUUUACCUUGUGAAUUUUUUGGUUGUUGCACCAUGUAAUAUGUUGCACAUGUUGAACCUUGAAAAUCAAGAUUUUAUGCUAGAGCACAUGUUGUUUUAGUGCUCACACAUGUUGUAACAAAAUCGCGGUGACGAUUUUUCUAUGGUACGCAUGUUGAUUUUAAACAUACAUGUUGAUAUGAAAAAUUGUUGAAGGACUAACAAUGAAAUAGCCUCGAUUUGGAGUCCAUGUUGGCUAUUUCUUGCUACACUACCACAUUAUUUGAUUUAUGUCUACAAAACUUUAGUGUUAGUAAUUGUGGACUGGUCUUGUAUCGCUGGUUGAUGCAAGUACUGUUGCAGUUCAACAGUGAUGUUUUCCUUGAUUGAACUAUGUUGGAGAUGGCGUUUCACCUCUAAAUACUUAUGGCCACUGUCUACUCAGUCCAAGAGUCAUUUUCAUAAAAAUAUUUUUUUCAAAAUUUUUCUAAAAGUUAACAUUGUCCAAGUGAGAGAAUGUUAGAAUUAUUUAUUUUAUGUGGACUUAACAUUAACUUUUUAUUACAUUAAAGUAAAACGAGCUGAUGUUAUUAAUUGGUGGACAAGACACAGGUCGUGUAUUCAUGUAGAUUCCAUAUUUGCAUGUAUCCAUUUCAUGUUAUUGGUAUGGGCUGACAAUAAUGUAGGCAUGUAGUAGACCUGUGAGCCCAUAAUGAGGGUGCACUCAGUUAAGGAUUUUAAGCCUAUAAAUAAAAGGCUAGGUCCCCUCUCUUGGUUUUAACAUAAGACGUAUUCCCAUAACCUAAGGUGCUACCCGUCAUAAACAAAGGAGAGGAAGACUCCGCCUAGUUCGUCUUCCAUUACGUGUAAGCAAUGACGAACAAAGGUACACACCUUUCCUCUCUCAUAUUCCCUUACUUUGUGUUCUUGAUUUAUGUGAAUCUGUGGUGUGUUUCUCUAUUAAUUUCAACAUAAAAUGCUUCUACAUAUUUUUUUUUUAAGUGGCUAAAUUCCCUCUUUGUUAUUACUUGGAUCAUGUGUUAUCGAUUCAUUGAUUAUUUUUACUAAAGUUCAUUAUUUAAAUAUUAUUUUGGCACAAAUGACAAAUGCCAUCAUUUUAUUCGAUGUUUUACACAUCAUUCGCGAGUGUGACUCACACAUGUGAUAUAUUUUUAUUGAUUAUGCAAAAAGUGCCAAAAUUACGUAGUAAAACAACAGUUAAGAUGUUUAAAAUGUACAUGUAUAGUUGAAGUGCACAAAUAAAAAUUGAUGAUCACUUUUAAGGAGGUGGUGAUGUGUUUGGCCAAAAUAGGAACUUUCUAUCUCUCUUAAGUUAUAUAUUUCCAUUGUCACUUCAAUGGAGUCCAAUAUUUCUAGACUCAAAUGAAAUAUUGAUUCUAUUUUGUUGACAAUGUUCCGAAAACAUUCAGAAUAUUAUAUGCACUCGGUGUUUAUAUCAAAAUAAAUAAUUUAACUUCAGAAAUUAAAAAAUGAAAUGACAAUACAUAUUUUUCAGUAAGAAAUUUUUUGAUUGCAAUCACAAGAAAACAAAUGAAAACAACAAAAGCUUAGUUUAUGAGCAACAAUGCAUGUCAAUUUGUCUUUAUUUUUUUUAGAACUUAUUUCUCAUCACAACUUAUCUCUGCCUCCUUGUGAGGGGCAAGGCCUGUUGUUUAAAUUGUCUUGUUCUUAGCUAUUUCUCUAAGGCAUCUGAUACUGACAAUUUUUGUCUUGGUUUGAGACAACAUAAAAAAUAUCUAUGCACUUUGUCAUUUUCUUUAUUUUGAUGUUUCACUUACCUCAUAGAUCUAGAGGAGAUGUUCAAAAACAAGAACAAUGAGCUAAGUGGUCUCAGGGGCUGACCUAUGUGUAAUUUUGUAGUGUCCCAGCAUCCGUUGAACAUGACGUAAACAACAUAUAAUUAUAUAAGAAUUGUAAUAAAGAUUGAUAUAAGAUUUUAAAAAUGAUGGUUGAGUACUUGGUUCCAAGGUGGAAACUUAAAACCUUGGGCGUCAAUAUGUGUGUUUGAACCACCCGGACACCCACGACCCCUAGAUCCUGAAUCCACCAUUGAUGUGGUCUCAUGGUACCUAACUCAUCAAUGUAUGAAAAUCUAUGGGCUUUACAUUUUCUUUAACUAAUCAGUAUAUAAGGACCUAAAAAUCGUUGAGCCAUAUAAGCAUCUCACAUUACAUUCUUCUGCACUUUUUCUACCCCUUUCAUAACAGUACCAAGCCAAAAGGUACCUACAAAGAUGGAAGUUAAGAACAAGUAUGUAGCAAUAAAAGCCAACAUAAAUGGUGCACCAGAAGUGUCAAACUUCGAGAUAAAAGUCGAAAACCUCUCACGUAUAGUUGAGCCAGAGUCGAAGGAGGUUGUCAUCAAGAACCUGUUAGUAUCGAUUGAUCCUUAUCAGAUAAACCGGAUGAAGAGCCAAAGUUCAUCACAAACAUCGAUAAGUUAUGCAACUGCCAUUACUCCUGGCGAGGUCAUUGACACUUAUGGUGUAGGAAGAGUGUUGGUUUCUCAUCGGCCCGACUUCAAGAAAGGUGACUUGGUAGUUGGGCUACUUACCUGGGGAGAGUACACUGUUGUAAAGGAAGGUUCCCUGUUGAAUAAGCUGGAUCCUAGUCUGGCAUUUCCUUUGUCUUACCAUGUCGGAGUUUUUGGAUUCAGUGGACUUGCUGCCUAUGGUGGAUUCUUCGAAGUGUGUAAGCCGAAGCCAGGGGAGAAAGUUUUCGUGUCUGCUGCUUCUGGUUCAAUAGGACGUUUAGUAGGACAGUAUGCUAAAUUACUUGGAUGUUAUGUUGUUGGCUCUGCUGGUAGCCAAGAAAAGGUAAAUUUUCUUAAGGAGAAACUUGGAUUCAACCAUGCAUUCAAUUAAACAAGAAACUGACCUCAAAUCGGCUCUCAAAAGGUGUUUCACUCAAGGGAUCGAUGUCUACUUUGACAAUGUGGGAGGCAAGAUGUUAGAAGCAGCAGUGGCAAACAUGAAUUCACUCGGCAGAGUAGCCCUCUGUGGGGUUAUUUCUGAGCACGCGAAUGCUAGCACACAAGCUGGCCAGAUGUGAAGGAUAUAGUCUACAAGAGGAUUAGAAUCCAAGGAUUCCUAGCAGCUGAUUUCAUGCCAGUGUAUGCAGAUUUCCUGUCGAAAACAGUUGAGUACCUCCAAGAUGGAAAACUUAAGACCAUCGAAGAUAUCUCACAAGGCGUUGAAAGCAUCCCCUCUGCUUUUAUUGGACUGUUCAAUGGUGAUAAUAUAGGCAAAAAGAUUGUCAAAGUUGCAGAUGAGUGAAAAAAAGAGCAAGAAGAUUCAAGACUGUUGACCUAUUUGUUCAUGAAUUCACAAAAAAUAUCUUAUCUGUACUUCUUUCAAGUUGUAAUCCAUUUAAAUGUUCAUCUUCUGCAUCAAGUUAAAGUAAUGUUUAUGCAUUAUGCCUAUCAGAUUCUUGUGUAGUUUUCCUUUUCAUGUAUCCUAGAUUGAAACAAACUCUGUGACCCUAAGCUGUCUCAAUUCCAAAUUUAGUUGACUACAUGAAUCUUUUAUAUCAACUCAACACAGUGGAAAAAUACAUCUUUAGCAACUACUUCAAGACCACCACAAGAUAAAGCAAUAUCAAGGUCCCCAUCAACAUAGAGACCAGCUAUCAUGCCAAAUGAAUCCCGGCACUGAAAUAGCAGCAAAGUAAAGUGACAAUGGGUGUACAUAAGUUAGUUUCAAUAGAAUAACACGAUAGAAAACACUAAUGUACAAAUAUCACAGUAGAAACAAAGUUUGAGAGCAAUGGAUCACGAAGGGGAUAAACGUAUUUCCAAGUGUUACAGUAACAGCAUUAAUAUUGAACCUGCAGUCUUCCUUCCAUUCAAACAGACUGUCAACAGCCUCUGCCAAUGCAGAAUGAACAACUAGAUUCUUGUGUUUUCAAGAAAUUAUGGUCCUACAAUUGCAGCCACAGGAAGACACACAUACUAGUGAAUGCUUCAGCGUAAAGCUAUUCAUCAUUGAGGGGAAACGGUUAAAAGACACCAGAAAGAUGCAUAACCGCAGUUCCCCUGGAGAGCAAAGAACGUGCAAAAACUUGCACUCAUGACUUAUCAACUAGCAGCACUUUUCUUUCUGAAGAACUAGUUGCAAUAUCAAGGAAAAAGAAUUCCAUGAUGUGGAACCAUUAUCAUCAUAAGUAUCAUAUAACAGAUCAAUCUACAUAUAACCAUUUAUUUAAGGGAAGGAGAAGCUUGUUCAACAUUUUGUUAUGAUGAAUUUGACUUUAAGCUACCAACAAUGUGAGAUGAAAUUUAGAAGUAGGCGAGUCUCGCUCUAUACAUGCUGUUGGAGUUGUAAGGUUAACUUCAACUCUUUGAAGUAAAAAUAAAGAAAGAAAGAAGAGAACAAAUAAUUUACUGCACAAAGGUUUAUUUUUCAUUAAUCUAUAGUGGUGCUUAUAUACUAAAAAAAAUGCAAUAACUAAAGCCUAUAAUUAAUCCACUACUUUGUACCUGAUUCCAUGAUCAGCAAUAUUCAAAAAAACUACACCACUAACAUCUAAAAAUCAGCCACUAAACUAAGUUGUUGAGAACAUGGCUAAAAAAAGUUGGAUGAUGUCCAACAAUUGCUCCUACUUUUACUGCAAUAACUAAGGCAAUAAUCAACACUCCUCCAUGCUUCAAUUUCUGCAAAUUCCAAGCCUUUCUCCGAGAAAUUCAAAUCUGCUCUUUGGCAAGGCUUUGGUAAACAUAUCUGCUAGUUGAAGAUCCGUCUUGCAGUACUUUAACCCAAUCGAUCCUUCUUUUUGCAUGUUUCUAAGAAAGAAUAAUUUGAUAUUGAAAUUCUUAGUUUUUGCAUGAAAAAUAGGAUUAUUUGAGAUAGCAAUAGCUGCUUGAUUAUCCACAAACACCUUUGUGCACUUCUCUUGCAUUAAAUUAGAUCAAGUAGCACUUUUCUAAACCAUAAGGCUUGAUUUGCAGCAGCUGACCAAUUUCUUGCUUUUUAGACCACUAAGAAAAUACACCUGAACCAAGACUAAAACAAUAACCAGAAGUGCUCUUCAUGUCUUUAGAAGUUGCUCGGACUCUUCAAUUAUGUCUAUGGGUGCGUGUCGGAUCCUCCAAAAAUAGUAUAUUUUUGAAGGAUUCGACACGGGUGCAGCAACAUUUUUGGAGAGUCCGAGCAACUUAGAUCAGAAUACCCCUGCAACACGUGCUUCUGAUUUGCAUUGAACUUGAUUCCAAAAUUCAGUGUUCCCUUAACAUAUCUUAUCACCCUUUUUUCUGCUCUAAAAUGAGUGUUAGUUGCACAAUUAGUGAAUCUAGAUAAAAGACUUACAGCAUAUAAAAUGUUGGGACUAGUUGCUGUAAGAUACAUGAGACAUCCAACCAUACUUCUGUAAAGAGUCUCAUCCACUUUUUCAGCUUCAUCAUUUUUGCUCAACUUCUCCUUUUGACACAUCGGAGUAGUUGUGUCUUUGCAAUUUUCCAUUCUGAACUUCUUCAAACUGUCUCUUGCAUACUUCUUUUGACAAAUGAAAACUUCAUUUUGCUCUUAAGCCUUAGAAACAGUGCUAUAACCCACAAAUAUUCCAGCUUCCGCCUUUUUAUCAAGCUUAUCUCUUUUACUCUGUGGCACAUAUGUAAAGCACACACAUCCAAACACUGAGAGAUUUUUUUAAAAAGGUGUAAAACCAUACCAGAUUUCAAAUGGUGUCUUUCAUUCUAAUGCUUUUGUUGGAAGCCUGUUGAGUAGAAAGACUAAGACUGGUGUAUGAGUAGUUUCUGCCCAAUACUCUUUUGGUAAACAUUUCUCAUGCAACAAGCAUCGAGCUAUCUCCAUUAUGGUACGAUUCUUCCUCUCACUAACUCUAUUUUUCUGUGGAGUAUAUGCAGCAGUGAGUUGGUGUUCAAUUCCAGCUUCUUCACAAAACGCAUUGAAUUGAUCAAAUGUAUACUCCUUGUCGUUGUCGGACCUUAUAAUUUUACAGCCACUUUGAGUUACAAUCCACUGCUUGAAUUUCCAAAAAAUAGUGGCAACCUCUGACUUGAACCUAAGAAAAUAAAUCCAACACAUUCUCGUAUAGUCAUCGAUGAAAACAAUGCAAUACUUACUACCUUUGAGUGACGGAGUUCGUUGAGGACCAGCCAAAUCUGUGUGGAUUAAUUUUAGCUUUUCAAUGGCUCUCUAGGUUGCUUUCUUGAAAGGCAGCCUUGCAUGUUUGCCAAAUUGACAAGUUUUGCAAUCUGCUAUUUCGACUUCAAGAUUAGGUAGCCCUCGAACCAGAUCUUUCUUUUGUGAGUUAAUUACAGCAGCAUGAUUGAAAUGUUCGAAUCUUUUGUGCCAAACUUGUGCAUUAAUCUUAGUUGCAGAGUAAGCUUUUUUGCUCAUGAUCUAAAAGAUCCUAUGUAAAGCUCCUUCCCUUCAUCAUUACCUUGAAUAAGUUCCUGCCAUCUUCAUCAUUGAUUUGACACUAAUUUGAUUCAAAGAGAAGUUUGAAACCAUUCUCAAGCAUCUGCCCAACACUUACCAGACUAUGGCUAAUAUUAGGUACAAAAAACACAUCUUUGAUUGGUUUUGUACCUAAGGAGUAUUUCAUUUCCACAGUACCUUUACCUUCAGCAAAAAUAUAGUCUCCAUUACCAACUUGUACUUUGGAAAUUACCGAAGUAUCCAAUUUCUUGAAGAGAUCAUGAUCAAAUGUCAUGUGGUUUAUGCAACCACUGUCAAUAAGCCACUUAUCACUCGAGCAGCUAGUUGCCGAAUAUGUCAUUACAAAGAGCUGCUCUUCAUCUUUCUAAUUAGCUACCUAUGCAGCAUUAGUCUGCUGAGUGUUGUUCUUGCAAACCUUCUGAUGAUGUCCCAUCUGCUGACAUUUCUCACACUGUUGGUCUGACCUUCUCCAGCAUUUGAACGGUGGAUGACCCUUCUUUCCACAAUGCUUUCAAGGAGGAAAAUCAUGUUUCACUUCCCUAUUGAUCCCAGGAGAAUGAGAACUUGAGUUUUCCUUCUUGUUCAACUUCUUCUUUCCUCGAUUUGAUUAAACUUUUGCAGGUAGUAAACCCUCAAUCGAUCUUUCGGACCUCAUAAGUCUUCUCCGUUCUUGUACCUACAAAGCAUUCAAUAGUUCUCCCAAACUAAUCUGUGACAGAUCCUUAGUAUUUUCCAGUGCAGAAAUAGUUGUUUCAAACCUUUCAAGGACUAUUACUGGAACUUCUUGAACCAAUCUAGAAUCAGAAAAUACAGAGCCAAGUAAUCUUACAUUGUUGGCAAUGUUGAGUAAUCUAUCAGAAUACUCUUUGAUUAUCUCCAAAUCCUUCCUCUUUAACAGCUUCCCACAAAUUGUUUUUGUAACGCCUCGAUUUUCUGAACCGAAACGCUACACGGUGCUCAUGACCCGAAGGACCACAAGCUAACCCAUGACUGAUAUCUGUACCUGUAAAUUGCAUAAUAUCUCAUAAAAUAUACGGAAACAUGAACUGUAAGGCCAUAAAGUUCAUUACUGAUACAUAUCUGAAAAAUAUGGUAUAACAAUACCAAAAAGAAACAUAAAUACUGAAGUCUGAACAUCUAAUCUGACAUCUAGUCCGAAAUCCUCUAAUUGAACUGAAUAAGGAGUUGAAGGAACAUGUCUCCAACUAACUCUAUGAACUGAAAAACUAAUCUGAAAUACUGCAAUAAAGUAAUAAUAAUAUUGUCCUCGAAUGAAGAGGAGCACUAACGGCUGAAAUCUGCAAUGCUACUGCUGCUCUGAAACUCGUGCCUCUGUACCUAUGGCAUCAAAUAAAACACCAUAGCGCGAAUGCAUCAGUACGACUGAAUGUACUGAGUAUACGAGCGAGGUAGGCUAAAUGCAAAGGGUUUUAUAUGCAUAAACAAUGCUGACUAAUAUGAACGUGAGAAUAUAUACAUACAUACAUACAUACGUAACUGCAACUAAACUCGUGGUGAUACUGACGACUGAGUCUGAAUACUGGAAAUAUGAGUUUACUGAUGCUGAGAUACUGAAUGACUAAGUUUACUGAUAUUGAGAUACUGAAUGACUGAGUUUACUGAUAUUGAGAUAUUGAAUGACUGAGUUUACUGAUAUUGAUAUGUAAUUCACUAAUAAGUGAGGAACUGAUACUGUAUUACUGAAUACUGGGAGACUGAUACUAUAUUACUAAUAAGGAAUGAUUGUUUCUGAUAAUUCUGAUUAUGAAGAACUAAUUUGAUUGAUCGUAUAUAACAGUCCUGGAACUGAGCUCAUGAUAACAUGACUAUUGAGUAUGAAUACUGAUGACAUGUAUUUACUGAUAACAUAUCAUGAAUGAUAACUGAAUUCUGAUAACUGAUAGUAUGAAUGACUGUAUCUGACAGUCCUAGAUCUAAUGGAACUAGCUGAGUUCCGUAUUGUAUCUGAGUUGACUGUAUCUGACAGUCCUGAUAUCCUGAAGAACUAUCUGAGUUCUUUUACUGAGACUAAUAUUGAAACUGUGGGAAGUAGUUAUCUAAUCGACAUGCCCCAAAUAUGCUAAAAUAUAUAAGCUGGGGUCCAAUCUCUACCCUGAUUGGAAGGGUGUCAAUACCGCGCCACUGGUAAGGACAAGCUGUGAGUGACCCUCAUCUAGCAGGUACUCUAAUGAGAACGGUGGAAACCCUCAUCUGCCAGGUUAAGCCACCUCAUCUACCCUCAACUGAUGGGUAUUGAUGUCUCAACCUAUGCUGGCUACAUAGUUCUAGAACGCAAGGACUGCUUCUAAGAAUCACACUCUCUACUGGUAGGUGAGUUCCUAUCCUUGGGUUCGCUCGGUGCUGAAUCCUACUCCCAACUGAAUGACACUGAACUAAUUAUACUAAAUUGAUUUCCUAGUUCGUACUAGAAUUAACUGAACUGUUACUGAUCUGUUUAACUGAACUGGACAUGGACUGAGUUUAUUAAGUUACGAUGCCUAGCGGAACACUACUGAAUUCUGUUAACUGACUAAAUGCUAUUGAGUUCUGUUAGCUGACUGAAGUCUACUGAACAUGGCUUGACUGAGAGUAUCGUGAAAACAUGACAUGGCUCUAGGCACACAGCUAUAUUUUUCGGGUACGAAUACCUCCAAGACUCGAUGGAAGGAAACUGACAUGACUUGACAUACAAGAGUACUUGACCAACAUUAACAGUCCAUAAUAUAGCAUCUAUGGGAGAUUCAUAAAUCAUGUGGUUUUCAUAACCUUUUCAUAUAGCUAACAUCAUGGUCAAUUCUAAUAUCAUGACAAGCCAACAACAUAUUCAUAGCACAUUAAUAGCAUAGAAAUCAUCUUGAUCAAGUAGACAUGACAUAACUGAAGAGACAUGGCAAAAUCUUNNNNNNNNNNNNNNNNNNNNNNNNNNNNNUCAUUAUUUAUUCGUUGAGGCACAUUAUCAAACACAUGGUAGGCAUAGCUUUAGCAUGGAAGUCAACUUAAGCACAUGGAUAUGGCAUGGAAUCAUCAUUUAUAUCACAAAUAGGUCAAAGUUCUCAAUUCUUCUUCACUUAGGCAUUUACAAACACCUUGCAUGCACUAUUUAGGGCAUAGGCCUAAUGAUCAAUUUUAUACACCAUAACACCAUAAUUCAACUCAAUUUCACCAAUUGAAUCAACAAAAUAUCAUGGUAUCUCGAACAACAUGUAAAGAUUCAAACUUUAUUCACACAACAUGGAAUUCACGUGAAAUCAUAAAAUAUGGAGUAAGGACUUGUUAAUUGAGCACUCUUAAAUCAUGAAAACAUGAUUAUGCCUAUUCUAGGCAUUUCGUCGAACACCUUGCAUGAACACUUUAUGGCAUAGGUGUUCUUAAUAAUUUAGUCAUCUUAAACCACCCAAUNNNNNNNNNNNNNNNNNNNNNNNNNNNNNNNNNNNNNNNNNNNNNNNNNNNNNNNNNNNNNNNNNNNNNNNNNNNNNNNNNNNNNNNNNNNNNNNNNNNNNNNNNNNNAAGAAAUUCUUAGACAUGUUCUUGAUUCCUUGACUAGGGUUCUUGUUCCUUUGAGAGAAAAUAAAUUGGCUCUUGAGUUUGAAAAACUUGAAUAUCAUAUAUUCUUGAAGACGGAUUUGAUUCUUGUUAUAGGUUAUGAUCUUGAGAGAAACCCUUCUUUUGAUGUUGAAGAUAAAUGAGGAGUUAUGUUCUUUAAUUGAUUGGAUUUGAGUCUUCAAAUUGAAACCCUAGCUUGAGUUCUUGAGAGUAUUUUGAGAAGAGGAGUAUAUUUUGUUACAAAUAAGCCUUAAUCCCUUGUUUGGGGUAUAUAUAGGGGUGGAAGAUGACCAAGAUACCCCUAAGGAACAAUUAAGGUUAAAUCUGUCCCUAAUUGACUGUCUGAAAGGCUGAAAAAAAUUGAUCAUAACCUUUUAUUUAGAUGUACAAAUGGGAUGAAACUAAUUUCAUUGGAAAGGAGACUCAAAGAUCUUUCCAUUGAUAUAUAGAAUCUCUCACAGUUCAUUAUAUAUUGGGAGUUAUCAUCGUUUGAAGUUGACUCUGAAAUGCUGAAAAAAUUGGGCAAGCACUGGAGUUAGUAGGCUGCGCGGGCUAAUCGUCCGGGGCUUCUGUUUUGUGCACCCAAACAUGCCUUUACGCUACUCCAAAAAUUAUGAAACUCACCCGGGAUAUAUUACGAUCUUUCCCGAUCGUAACUCAACUUGAAAAUUAAAAAACGGUCGUCGGGAAGGUCGCCAAAUAAAUCCCCAAAGUUUGGAGGUCUAAAAUAAAACUAAGUGUUGAAUCUUGAACACUUAGCAAAAUUUUCUAAGUCUUGGGAUCUUUCAUGGAGCUUUACGAGCUGAAUUUGACACGUGAUUUUGUGGGGUAUUACAAUAUCUCUCCCUUGGGAAUAUUCGUCCUCGAAUGAGACUGACUGAGAGGGGAAAAUGAUAAACUGGAGUACGUACAAGAAAUUCACUACUGAGACAUGGGUUCAUGACUGACAUGAUUGAAAAUUGAGCAUAUUAUAUUGAACAUGCACAUCUGAUGCAUGGGUAACUAGUUUAUGAAUGAAGGACUGAGUGUUCUGAUAAACUGAGUUUCUCAAAUGGGAAUGCAUAUCUGAUGCAUAACUGAUAAGCUGAAUCCAUGUAUAUCUGAUACAUGAAUACAUGACUGAAAGUGUGGAUAAGCUGAUCACACAUAACUGAUGCGUGAAUACAUGACUGAACUGGCUCGUGAACAUGCGACUGAACAUACAAUGGUAAAAGAUACUAAGUUUUGAACUAAAAGCUGGGCAUGGAACUAAAUACCAAGUUUGGUACUGAAAUCUGAACAUGAGAAUGAGUAAGUUCAAGGAAGACUGUUACGUUGAACUGGAAAUAACAGUGAGUCUGAGAUUAAUUACUCAAUAGGCAUGAGCGGGAACAUGAGGACGUAACUGAGCCUGAAACAUGAUACAUAAACGAACUGAGCUUGCAUCUGCUGAAAACUCAUGGUCGACAGGAGCCUUUCUUUAACACCCUUUCUUUAACUCUCUUUCUAUAGAGUUCUAGUGGCUCUAGAUUGCAAGGAAAUCUUGGUGUGGUCUGUCCCUAAUUGACUGUCUGAAAGGCUGAAGUAAAUUGAUCAUAACUUUUUAUUUAGAUGUCCAAAUGGGAUGAAACUAAUUUCAUUGGAAAGAAGACUCAAAGAUCUUUCAAUUGAUAUAUAGAAGCUCUCACAUUUCAUUAUAUAUUGGGAGUUAUGAUCAUUUGAAAUUGACCCUGAAAUGCUGAAAAAACUGGGCAAGCACUGGAGUUAGCAGGCUGCGCGGGCUAGUCGCCCGGGGCUUCUGUUUUGGGCACCCAAACAUGCCUUUACUCUACUCCAAAAAUUCUGAAACUCACCCAGGAUAUACUAAGAUCUUUCCCGAUCGUAACUCAACUUGAAAAUUGAAAAACGAACGUCGGAAAGGUCUCCAAAUAAAUCCCCAAAGUUUGGAGGUCUAAAAUAAGACUAAGUGUUGAAUCUUGAACACUUAGCAAAAUUUUUUAAGUCUUGGGAUCUUUCAUGGAGCUUUACGAGCUGAAUUUGACACGCGAUUUUGUGGGGUGUUACAGUUUGCAUCCAUAUAUGCCUCCAUUCUUGCUGCCUAGACAUGAUAGCCUUCACCUUUAAAGACAGGUGGUGCUAGUGCAGUGAAAGGAGUCUCUGAAUCCAUAGAAGAAAAAACAAGAAGAGAAAGAUAUGUUUCCCUCAAAUGCAGGUCCCUAAAGAAGACAUCUCUUGAUACCAAUUUGUUGGAGUUGUAAGGUUAACUUCAACUCUUUGAAGUGAAAACAAAGAAAGAAAGAAGAGAACAAAUAAUUUACUGCACAAAGGUUGAUUUCUCAUUAAUCUAAAGUGGUGCUUAAAUAGUAAAAAAAAUGCAAUAACUAAAGCCUAUAAUUAAGCCACUACUUUGUACAUGAUUCCAUGAUCAGCAAUAUCCAAAACAACUACAACACUAACAUCUAAAAAUCAGCCACUAAACUAAGUUGAGAACAGGGCUAAAAAAUGUUGGAUAAUAUCCAACAAUUGCUCCUACUUUUACUACAACAACUGAGGCAAUAAUCAACACAUGCACAUCGUCAUAACAUUAGUACAUCACAAAAGAACUGUCAAAACAGGGAAAGCUCACCUUUCUUCAUUGCACUCCAUGUAGUAGGCAGAGGGUGGAAUAGCAGUUUGGUUGUUCCAAACACAGCGUUUUCACUUCCUGAAAGUUCAAUAAUACGGAACAGUUAACAGAAAACCUCAUUGACAUCUCCUAUGACAAGUAAAAGCAGUGUUGAUCUAGAAAGCAUCACAUGAACAGCUAGCUCCGUCAUAGCUAACAUUAUAACAUGUUCUAAACACAAGUUGCUGUCCGUGUUUGAGCAAAAAAAGGAGCUCAUUUCCCUACAUUUGAAUAUGUCGAAGGUUCUUUAAUUCACGCUGUAAGCAGUGAACACGAACAAAUAAAAGGUAGUUAAGUAAUCUGAAGUCCAGACUGCAUGAAAGUUAACAUUUGUCCCCCGUAUUGUUUCCACUAAAUGUACAAUUAGAGAUAUGUUCGCUACGUUUCAUUUCAAUUUUCACCCCUAUUUCCUCAAUUUAGUGCCACACAGGAUGAAAAUCAACAAAUUGAAUCUCAACAAAAAGUAAAUCCAGAUGUGUUAAAUUCUUGAAAUAAAAUCCCUGCAGGUAUUAGCAAAUUUUCCUUGCUAAUCCACACGCGGCUACAUUGACUUCGGCCAGAUUGCACAAAAUCGUGCUGAUACAUUGAUAUCAAACAAAAUCGACAUUCCGUCAAGGCUAUCAGUUUCUUACAAGGUGAUAAUUUAUAUGGACGGGGAAUAUUACUUAAACUCACACAAGUACUUAAUAGAUUUCUUAAAACACACGCACACACAACAGGUUACUGAAUUACGUACACACAUAAGUGGGUUACAAGAUAAUCUGUUUAAAUUGUCUUGUUCUUAGCCAUUUCUAUACGCAUUGAUACUUAACGAUAGUGAUAAUCUUGCUGCUAAUGACAGUUUUUGUCUUGGUUGAGACAGCAUAAAACAUCUCCAUGCACUGUCAUUUUCAUUAUUUUGAUGUUUCACCUACCUCAUAAAUCUAGAGGAAAUAUUCAAAAACAAGAACAAUGAGCUAAGUGGUCUAAGGGGCUGCAAUUUUGUAGUACCCCCGCAUCCAUUAACACGAUGCAAACUAGGUAUAAUUAUACAAGAAAUGUAUAAAAAUUGGUAUAGGAUUUAAAAAGGAAUGCUGGAAACCAAGAUGAUAGUUAAGUGCAUUGUUUCCAGGCGGAACCUUAAAGCCUUGGGGGUCAAUAUGCGUGUUCGAACCUCCCCGACACCCACGAUCCCUAAAUCAUGAAUCCACCACUGAUGUGGUCUCAUGAUACCAAACUCAUCAAUAUAUGAAACAUCUAUGACCUUUACAAUUUCUUUAAUUUGAUGUUGCAGCCUGCCACAUUAAUCUAAUGGACCUUUUCUAAUAAAAAACAGUGAGCCAACUGGUCCAAUAAUGCCUAACUAAUCAGUAUAUAAGGACCUAAAAAUAGUUGAGCCAUAUAUGCAUGUCACAUUACAUUCUUCUGCACUUUUUUCUUCCCCUUUCAUAAUAGUACCAAGCCAAAAGGUACCUACAAAGAUGGAAGUUAAGAACAAGUAUGUAGCAAUAAAAGCCAGCAUAAAUGGUGCACCAAAAGAGUCAGACUUUGAGAUAAAAGUCGAAAACCUCUCACUUAUAGUUGAGCCAGAGUCUAAGGUGGUGGUUGUCAAGAACCUGUUUGUAUCAAUUGAUCCCUAUCAGAUAAACUGGAUGAAGAGCCAAAGUUCAUCACAAACAUCGAUAAGAUAUGCAAAUGCCAUUACUCCUGGAGAGGUCAUUGACACUUAUGGUGUAGGAAGAAUGUUGGUUUCUCAUCGGCCCGACUUCAAGAAAGAUGAUUUGGUAGCAGGCUUUCUUACCUGGGGAGAGUACACUAUAGUAAAGGAAGGUUCCCUGUUGAAUAAGUUGGAUCCUAGUCUGGCGUUUCCUUUGUCUUACCAUGUUGGAGUUUUGGGAUUCAGCGGACUUGCUGCCUAUGGUGGAUUCUUCAAAGUGUGCAAGCCGAAGCCAGGGGAGAAAGUUUUAGUGUCUGCUGCUUCUGGUACAAUCGGACAUUUAGUAGGACAGUAUGCUAAAUUACUUGGAUGUUAUGUUGGUGGCUCUGCUGGUAGCCAAGAAAAGGUAAAUUUUCUUAAGGAGAAACUUGGAUUCGACGAUGCAUUCAAUUAUAAACUAGAAGCUAACCUCAAAUCAGCUCUCAAAAGGUGUUUCCCUAAAGGGAUUGACGUCUACUUUGACAACGUCGGAGGCAAGAUGCUAGAAACUGCAUUGUCAAACAUGAACUCACUGGGCAGAGUAGCCAUCUGUGGGGUUAUUUCUGAGUACACGAAUGCUAGCACACGAGCUUCCCCGGAAAUGUUGGAUAUAGUCUACAAGAGGAUUAGCAUCCAAGGAUUCCUAAUAGCUGAUCUCAUGACAGUGUAUGCAGAUUUCCUGUCGAAAACAGUUGAGUACCUCCACGAUGGAAAACUUAAGGCCAUCGAAGAUAUCUCACAAGGCGUUGAAAGCAUUCCCUCUGCUUUUAUUGGAAUGUUCAAUGGAGAUAAUAUAGGCAAAAAGAUUGUCAAAGUUGCAGAUGAGUGAAAAAAAGAAAAAGAAGAUUCACGGCUGUUGGCCUAUACAUUCAUGAAUUCGCGAACAAUAUCUUAUCUGUACUUCUUUCAAGUUGUAAUCCAUUUAAGCAUUCAUCUUCUGCAUCAAGUUAAAGAACAAGUUUACGUAUUAUGCCUAUCUGAAUCUUGUUUAGUUUUCCUUUUCAUGUAUCCAGGAUUGAAACAAACUCUGUGAUCCUAGUCUACCAACUAUGCCUCAAUCCCAAAUUUUUUAUAUCAACUCAACAAAGUGGAAAAAUACAUCUUUAGCAACUACUUCAAGACCACUAUAAGAUAAAGCAAUAUCAAGGUCCCCAUCAACAUAGAGACCAACUAUUAUGCCAAAAUGAACCCGGGUACUGCAAUAGCAGAGAAGUAAAGUGACAAUGGUUGUACGUAAGUUAGUUUCAAUAGAAUAACAUGAUGGAAAACACUAAAUGUACUAGUAUCACAGUAGAAACAAAAUUUGAGAGGAAUGGAUCAGGAAGAGGAUAAACGUAAUACCAAGUGUUACAUUAACGGCAUUAAUCAUGAACCUGCAGUCAUCCUUCCAUUCAAACAGACUGUCAACAGCCUCUGCCAACGCAGAAUGAACAACUAACUUCUUGUGUUUUCAAGAAAUUAUGGUCCUACAAUUGCAGCCACAGGAAGACACACACAUAGUAGUGAAUGCUUCAUCGUAAGGCUAUUCAUCCUUGACGAGAGCGGUUAAAAGGCACCACAAAGAUGCAUAACCACAACUCCCCUGGAGAGCAAAGAACGUGCCAAAACUAGCACUCAUCAACUUGCGACACUUUUUUUUUUGGGAGAACUAAUUGCAAUAUAAGGAAAAAGAAUUCGAUAAUAUGGACUAUUAUCAUCACAAGUAUCAUGUGACAGAUCAACAUCUAGUUCAGAUUGAUCUACAAAAGCCACACAUUCAAGGGAAGGAGAAGCUUGUUCAACAUUUGUUAUGAUGAACUUGACUUUAAGCUACCAAUAAUGUGAGACGAGAUUUAGCAGACAGGUAACUCUCGCUACAUACAUGCACAUGGUAUGGUAAUAACAUCAGUACAUUACAAAGGAACUGUAGAAACAGGGAAAGCCCGCAUUUCUUCAUUGCGUUCCAAGCAGUUAGCACAGAGAGUGAACUAGCUGUUCGGUUGUUCCUAACAUAGCUUUUUCACUUCCUGAAAAUUCAAUUAGACAGAUUAGUUAGCUGAUAACUGCAUUGACAUCUCAUAUGACAAGUAAAAGCAGUAAUGAUCAAGAAAGCAACACAUGAAGAGCGAGUCCCGACACAGUCUACAUUUAAAGUGUAUUAAACACAAGCUGCUGGCCUUGUUUGAGCAUAAAAGACGAGCUGCAUUUCCCUACAUUUAAAUAUGUCGAAGGCUCUUUAGUUCAUGUUGUAAGCAGUGAAGAUGAACAAAUACAAGGUAGUUGGAUAACCUCAAGCUAGACUGCAUGAAAGUGGUGUAUAAAUGGUAUACUUAGUAUGACAAAUCCCAUAAGAAAAUAAAAAUGAACAAAGAGAUGCUCAUCCUGAUUCCAGUGCAACAUAUUGACCGGCCCAAAAAUGGGUAAUUUGAUUCAGAUCUGGAACACUUCACAGAAAGCAUGACCCUCCCACUACUAAAAAAGACCAAAAAAUGACGGCCAAAAGUGAAGGACAAUGUCGUUUUUUUGGACAACGUUGCUUUUUGCAAACGAUGGCCUGCGUCGCUUUUUUUACCGCGGACAAAGUCGUUUUUUGAAAAAAAAAAAAAGAUCUUUUUAGAAAAAGCGACGUUGUGCGUGGUUUUUUGUUCUUCAUGUGUAGAAUAAAUAAUGAAUAAAAAACGAUGGACAUUGUCAUUUUAUUGAAGAAAAAUAUUUUUUUUUUAGAAAAACCGACAACGUCCGUCGCUUUUCUAUAUUUUUUUGAAUGCAGAAAUCGGCAUUUUCUGCAUUCCACCUGCCAAAUAAAAAUGCAAUUCAAUAUGUACGGCCCCUGACAACACACAUUACUAAAAUAAUCAUACAACACACUACAUCAUCAAAACAUUUAAGCAAUUCAAUUAAACAACAUCCAAAACACUUAACAAUUAAUCCAACAACAUCAAAACACUUAAGUGAUCUUGAAGGUUUUCCAAUAGUUAAAAGUUAAAAGAAUGUUUAAAAAGUGUCUAGAAGCCAAAUCCAAAAACACUAAGGAGUAGCCCCAACAAACUCCUCAUCACUUUCUCCUCAUCACUUUCUGUUUCUUCUUCGCUACUUGAAUCGGGAGAUGGAGAACGGUGACGACAACGAUGAGUCAUGCUAACCAUUUGUUUCUUAAGUUCCUCGAUGGUCAUGCACAUGACUUCAGUUUGAGCAACAGAUUGUGCCACGACGCGUGUAAGCUGUGCAAUUUGUUGCGACAUAUCAGCGAGCUGAACACCAUUAAUCGCCUCAGCCUGGCGCGAGGAACCAAUACCAGCCCAUCCAACCUCGAAGCGUUGCAAUUCAUUUCGAGAACCCAACCCAUAGGUUCUCCCCUUGUCUUCCUCCCGCCACUUUUUCGGUCCGAAUUUGAAUAGCUUCCUCCUAUGUAGGCUCGAUUGGACCAAACUCAGACACGUAGCGUGUAUAUUCAUUCUGCAUAUUAAAAAGGACACGUUAGUAAAUUUUACUAUUACUAAGUAAGGUGGAGCAUAACGUAAAUUUUAAUAUGUUUUGCUUACAUAUUGAAUACAAAAAUAAAUAAGAAAUCAACUUUUUUUUCCUAAACAUUAUUUUAAAGCUAACUUUUGCUUUCCAUCAAAUCUAAUUCGACAAGAAUUUCCACACACAACCCUUUGACUUUUUAAAAUUUGUUCCUCGUAUUGUUUCCACAAAUUGUACAAUUAAAGUUAGCAUGGCUACGUCUCAUUUCAUCCUAUUUCCUCAAUGUAGUGCCACAAAAAGGAUCCAAAUCAACAAACAAUAAGUAAAUCCAUGUUAGUCAAAUUCUUGAAACAAUUUUCCUACAAGGAUUAGCAAAAAUCGUUCGAUAACACUUCUUCCUAUUUCUUUCUCAAUGAUAUCCGACGAUCAAUUUUCCUUGCAAGUACAUACUCGGUACAUUGACCUCGGUCAGAUUUCAGAAAAUUAUGCUAAUACGUUGAUAUCAAACAAAAUAGACCUUCCGAGAAAUGCAUUAAACAAGCCUAUUAGUAAUUUGUACUUGGUGAUACAUCACCAUAGCAUUGAAGAGUUCUUGGAAAGGUCAAGUUACAGAUAUGAUUUGCUACGGUAUUUAGCAACAAGAUAGAGAAUUACUUACAGUAGGGAGACAACUUGUUUAAAAUAACAAAGAAGAGGAGAAUUGAGCUUUAGUAAUUAGAAGAAAGCAUCGCAUUAAACAACGCUUUAAAUCCCAAUAGAUUUAUCUAGAUUCCCCUGUUCAUUGGCAUCUCCAAUCUACACUAGUGAUAAAAACAGUUUAAUGUGUUUCCUCAAUCCUUUUCUCCUUCCAACCCACUUUUCUUCAUGACAACUUUAUUACCAAACUGCGAGAAGAUUUAAAUUGACCAAAUAUGCAACAGAAUGAGAAGAUAGACCUGGAGAAAAUUAUCAGUAAGCUAUAAGCAGCAACGAAAAGGACCAAAUUAGAUAGUAUCUCCUACUUUAACUCUUAUUCAGUAAUGCCACUAUUUCGUAUUUUUCCCUGUUAAGUUUCACCUAAGAAGACAAGUAAAAGUAGGUGCGAGAUCAAACACUAGCACGGGUUAGGCACAUUAUGCUGCCAUGAUUUCUGUGUCCGUGGUCCCCUUUAUGAUUACUCUAUCUAGAGGCCGAAUCGACCCCCUUAUAAAGCUUCUCAAGAAGAACACUAAAAUUAGUCCAGAAGAAAAACACAGAUUAUGUAGAUUGUAAUACCUGAAGAAAAAUACAGCUAGUAACUAGAAGCAAUGAGAAAACCAAAACAAAUCCAGAAGAAACUAAGCAGUUAGCUACCUAUUAGCUGCAAUGAGAAAAGCGAAAAUCAGAUACUAGGAAGACCGUAAUAUCGAUUCCAAAAGUAUCGAGUUUCCGCUUUAUGCCUCAUUAGGUUUCACCAAUAAAAGAUUAAUUAAAGAAGCCACUAGAUCAAACAAUAACCCUGGGAAGGACCUCAGCUUUAUCGGUGCAUUCACAUGCCAAACGUUCUAUGUUCAUGGUGCUCUUACUCCGACUAGAGGCAUAACAUUCUUUAAAACACCGCUGAACAAGAGAAAAGAUGUCCAACAUCAUUUAGUUCAAAGUCAAAGACAAAUUUAUUGUUCCUUGAAGAUAGUGCAUAAAGGAAAAAAUGACUAACAAGAUCUCGAAGCAAUACGGUUUAAAGAUGUCUUUUACAUAUGCAUUGUCUUGUUCUGUAUGCGAAAUAACAAUACGAACUUAACAGCAAUUGAGGAAAACAAAGUAUACUUACAAGUUCUUUGUCACUUGGUUUUCUUUGAUUGGAGUUUUUUCAGCCUUUUGUGUUUUGUUGCAUCUGCAGCCUCUUCUUUAGAAAAAGGACAAACUAGACUUUCAACGUAGAUUGCUAUCUUAGGAAACUCAUCAAAAUCAAUAACCUCUGAAUAUCUAAAUGAAGAAUCCUUCAGCUUGUAUAUCAUGGAAUAUUUAACAAACCUGAAAAAAAUUUCACCUUUGUUUGACAUGAAACAAGGCAGAUAAAAAUCACACCGCGGUGUAUCAAAAGGAUAAUUGACGGUUAACAUCUUUGUCCAAGAUUGUUUAACCCCAUACUCCUUCAUAACCCAAAAAUCUACAUGAGAGGUCGCAUUAUCACAAAAAAUGGAAAGAUCACUUCCCAACACUCCCAAAUACAAAUGAAUAUAUCCCUCUUUGUAGCAAGGAUGCUCCACUUCUCCCCAUUUCUCGUUAGCCAAAUCAAACGAUAUGAUGUUCCAUUCCUUAUAGUCACUUAUCAAACAUUCACCUUAGCAUUAGGCCAGUGAAGUUUCCCCUUCACUAAGAUAUCUGAAAUGUAUACUUCCUCUCGACUUUUACACUUCCUCAAUUGACAAUCGUCAACACUUCCCCAAGAAUCACACUUUAGACUAUAUAGUUUGAGCUCACCUCGAUCGAACUUUACCUUUUCUACAAAAGGUACCCAAUAACUUAUAAUCAUCAUGAAACUUAUCAUAUCCAAAACCAUACACGAGCGCUUUAUCAAACCACAAUGUAGCUCUAGGACAAGGUAAUUUUUUGUACUUUCUAUUCGAUGGAUUCCAUAGAAACAAAUUAUAUUUAGAAUCCACAAGACAAAUCAAUCCAUUGAUAGAACUUAGAAUUGUUAUAUAACUAGGCAAUUCAUUGUACAACCCGUCGGAUAUCAUACGAUGACCCAAGUCAGAUACCUCCGUAACAGAAUCAUUAAAUAAAGAAUCAAGAUUACAAUCUUAAAUAUUCACCCCCUGUAUAGAAUUCCACAUCACCCUAUGUUGGGUAUAACUACUAAGAUGAGUUUGGAUAAAUUCGGGGCUCGAGAUUAAAGCAAGCCAAGAUUUCGAAACACACCUGAAUUGCAAGAGGGACAAAACUCAACAUACGCUUAUAAUGUAGAUGCUCAUUAUUAUUAUCAGAUACAAUAAAAUGUGUAUUAUUAAAUUCGGGGCUAGAGAUUUAGCAAGCCAAGAUUUCGAAACACACAAACUCAACAUAAGCUUAUGAAGUAGAUACUCUUCUUACUACUCCCUCCCCUGACAAUAUUUGUCCACUACACUAAAAUUAAAAAUAAAUGUCAAACAAUACUUGUCUGGUUUAAAAAUCAAUGAAUAAUUUACCCUUUUCUACCCACUUUACCCUCGCUAUUAAAUACUAUUCAUCACUCAAUACAUUUUUCAAAAUAUUAAAGUUAUUACUCCUUCCGUCUAUUUUUACUUGUCCACUUUUCUUAUUAUUUUGGGAUGUGCAACAAUACUUGUCCAAUUUACAAAACCAAUGGUAUUAAAUAUAAUACAUCUCUCAUUUCAUUUUUGAAAGCAAAAAAAUUAUUAUAUUCAAAAGGUGACAUAGUAAAAUCACCCCUCCAUUUAUCGUUUCAAGGUACGUGCCAAGUAAAAAGUGGAUAAGUAUUUACGGACAGAGG
rnacentral:lncRNA from 1 species